UCAGGUAGGAGUACCCGCUGAACUUAAGCAUAUCAAU
rnacentral:rRNA from 1 species